GGCGCGUUGGCAGAAUGGUUAUGCUGCGGAUUGCAAAUCCGCCCACCCCGGUUCAACUCCGGGACGCGCCUCCA
rnacentral:tRNA from 1 species